rnacentral:rRNA from 1 species
CCCAGACUCCUACGGGAGGCAGCAGUGGGGAAUAUUGGGCAAUGGGCGCAAGCCUGACCCAGCAACGCCGCGUGAAGGAAGAAGGCUUUCGGGUUGUAAACUUCUUUUCUGAGGGACGAAGCAAGUGACGGUACCUUAGGAAUAAGCCACGGCUAACUACGUGCCAGCAGCCGCGGUAAUACGUAGGUGGCAAGCGUUACCCGGAUUUACUGGGUGUAAAGGGCGUGUAGGCGGGAAAGCAAGUCAGAUGUGAAGACCACGGGCUCAACCUGUGGCCUGCAUUUGAAACUGUUUUUCUUGAGUACUGGAGAGGCAGACGGAAUUCCUAGUGUAGCGGUGAAAUGCGUAGAUAUUAGGAGGAACACCAGUGGCGAAGGCGGUCUGCUGGACAGCAACUGACGCUGAGGCGCGAAAGCGUGGGGAGCAAACAGGAUUAGAUACCCGGGUAG